rnacentral:lncRNA from 1 species
UUUUUUUUUUUUUUUUUUUUUAAAUAGCUACCUGCUUUAUUCUUUCUGAGCAACUCUGAGACAAGGAGUGUGUCUUCUAACCUGCUACCUUUAAUUGCAGUGCUUAAGAUACACAUUCACGCCUGCUCCCACAGCACAAGGGAAGCACAAAACUAGAUAACAGCCAAGUCACCUGCCAGAGCCAAGCCCUAGGACCCCAGAGCCAAGCCCUAGGACCCCAGAGCCAAGCCCUAAGACCCCCUCCCCUUUUUCCCUUUGGCUGACUCCUCGAUCUUACUGCAUUUGCACAGGAAGGUGCGUGUUUGGACUUUUUAAAUAUUUUUGUUUUGGCGUGCUGAUAUAUCUUCCUACAGGUAAGAUUUUGCUGAAUUAAAAUGUAUGAACACCUUUAGUAUCUGUCUACCUAAAUUAAAAAAUUAUUUAUCUUUAUGUGUAUGAAGGUUUUACCUACAUGCAUGUAUGGGCACCACAUAUGUGCCUUGUGCCCUCAGAGGCUGGAAGAGAGUGUCACAUCCCCUCAAACUGGAGUUAACAGAUGUAUGAGCCGCCACAUAGGUUCUGGGGAUCAAGCCCAGGUCCUCCGGAAGAACAACCAGUCCUUGCAACCACUGAGCCCUAUCUCUGGCCAUCUGGUGUCUAUUUAAAAGAAGUUUUUUUCAAUGCGUUGAUUUUAUUUGUAUAUAUAUAUAUAUAUAUAUAUAUAUAUAUAUAUAUAUGUAUGGGGGAGGGGAGGGAGAGAGAGUGUGUGUAUGUAUGGAUGUGGGUGUGUAUGCCCCAGUGCAGGCAGAGUGGUUGGCAGCGCUGACUCUCCCUUGAGUGACACAUAAUAACGCCUUGAACUUGCCUGACUGAUAUGGAUGUAUGUAUGCCUUGUCCUAGGAAAAAGGAAUAGCUUGGCCGUCUCUCCUCCAUCCAGUCUGAGGGACCCUGAGGGUUGGGUGGGAUUUUGGAAAGCUGUCUGAAGUGUCUUGUGUGUGCCUGGCUCUCCCCAAAUGGAUGAUCUAUUUUGUACCACCACACCCAGGCAGUAUGGACUGCCUUUGUCCCUGACUAUGUUGGACCGCCCAAGGCCGCUCUCCUGAAAAGCUUCCUGUGGAGCCUGCAGUUGGGAAACUUCAUGAAGGUGUUGAGCCCCCCCCCCCCCCAUUGCUGGUUUUACUGUCAAGAUAAUUGUAAAGACACUCUUCGACUUCAAAGUCUGCAUUCACGGGGUGGGGUGGCAUCUCAAGUUCAAGGGCAACCUGGACUCUAGGCUCUAGAGUGAGUUCCAGGCCGGCCUAUGGGCUGUGUGGUGAGGCCUUGUUCGUGUGGCCUGCUCCCUUUCCAGUUACUCAGAAAAGCAUCACUUUUCCUUUUCUUUAUCUCUUUUUCUGGAUACUGGCCAAAAGCCUAAACCUACUUUCCUGGACAUCCGGGUCUUCUCGCUUGCUCCCAGAAGCACCCGUUCUAGUUCCUCCAAGCCCCCAUGGUUGAACCAGAUCACUGUCUCUCUUCCUCAUCCCUGUCUCCUUCCUCCCAACUGCUCCACGAUUUAUAGCUUGCCUUGUUUCCCCUUCACAGUCUCAUAAAACUGUUCUCCAGCUUAAAAAAAGAAGGAAG